GUCUCUCGCUCCCACCAGAGCUUGGAAUCCGUCUCUGCUCUUCUGCAUUCUCCACCUCGGGAGCCCCUGGGGACUCUGUGACGGCCUCUGUUGCCCUGUGAUCUGCAGGUCCGGAGAGACGCACAGCUAAGAUGUCAGGACAUCCUGGAAGCUGGGAAAGGGUCUUGCCAUCUCUAAGCUGGACCUGGUGACCUUUUUGGAGGGAAAGAAAGAGCCCUGGACUGUGAAGAGUGAGGAGACCAUAGCUGCACAGCCAGAGAUGGGGUUCCAUCAUGUUUUCCAGGCUGAUCUCAAACUCCCACGGUCAAGCGAUCUGCUGGCCUCGGCCUCUCAAGUCCAGAUGUAUAAUCUCAUCCCUGAACAUUUCUGAUGGUGUGAUUAUGACAUGUGACUUUAUCUGGCAACAGAGUGAGUUGUUGCUCCCGCCUGAGCCCAGCCCCCAGAAAGGAUUGUGACAUAUCGUUGGACCCAGAAUUGAGGUGCAGUUUUGACACACUUCUGUCUAGCAGCUGAGUAUUGUGAUCUUCAGAACUGGCCCAGCCUACAAAUAGGAUUGUGCCACACUGCUGGACCCAGCACCUAGAUGAUGUAACUAUUCUCCUGCCUUGGUGCUACUCAAAAAAGACAUUAACAUAUCUCAGAGCCUUGCACCCAGGUAAUGUGAGUCUCCUCUCCUGCCUUGCUGCUGCACACAGAAGCGGGUUAUGUACAGGAUUGUUAAUCUCAUUUGGACCUUCCUGCACCUAUGAUUGUGACACAUGCCUCUGUGUAGAACCCAAGUGAGUUUUCUCUCCUGUUUGGAUUUAACCCACAGAUGGAAUCGUGACAUAUCGCUGCACCAGAAACUAGGUGAUGUGACUCCAUUUCCUUGCCUCUGUGCUUUCCACAUUAGGCAUUGGGACAUAUCACUGGGCCUUGCAUCCAGGUGAUGGGAGUUUUCUUUUUCUUUCUUUCUUUCUUUCUUUUUUUUUUUUUUGAGACAGAAUUUCGCUCUUGUUACCCAGGCUGGAGUGUAAUGGUGCAAUCUUGGCUCAAGGCAACCUCCGCCUCCUGGGUUUAAACAAUUCUGUCUCAGCCUCCCAAGUAGCUUAGAUUACAGGCAUGCGCCACCACGCCUGGCUAAUUUUUGUAUUUUUAGUAGAGACAGGGUUUCUCCAUGUUGGUCAGGCUGGUCUCGAACUCCUGACCUCAGGUGAUCCACCUGCCUUGGCCUCCCAAAGUGCUGGGAUUACAGUUGUGAGCCACCGUGCCCGGCCAGUGAUGGGAGUUUUCUCUCCUGCUUUGGUGCUGACCACAGUGAGCAUUGUAAAAUAUUGCUGCCAUCACCCCUAGAUUAUGUUAACUCUCCUCUGCUUUGCCCACGUGGUUCACUGUGACAUAUUACUGGGUCUAAAACCCAGAAAAUGUAACUCCCUUAUUUAGGUUCUGCCUGCAGGAGCCAUUGUCACACAUCUCUGUGCUCACCACCCAGGUGAUGUGACUGCCUUUUACUGCCUAGUUCCUUCUCACAAAACAUCUUGUGGCAUACUGCUAGGCCCAGUACCUGGCUGGUGUGACUCCUCUCUUCUUUCUAGGUUCCACCUGCAGCAAAGAUUGUAACAUACCGCUGGGCCCAACAGCAUAAUGACGUUAUUCUUUUGCCUUGGGCCUGCCCUCAGAAGGCACUAUAAAAUAUUCAUGGCCCCAGCGCCAAGGUGAUGUGUGUCUCCAGCCUGGAUCCUGCCCACAGAGGGCAUUAUGACAUAUCUCUUGGCCCAUCAGAUGUUUAAUAUUAUCUCCUCCCAUUUCCUACCCUGUGUUUGCCUGUAAGAGACAUUGUCACAUGUUCCUGGGCCCAGCACCUAGGUGAUGUCUUCCUGAGACCUGUCCAUAUGGGGAUUGUGAUAUAUUGUGUGGCCCAGAACUUACUUGAUGCGACUCUCCUCUCAUGACUAGGCCCUGCUUACAGGUGUGAUUGUGACACACAGCUUGGCCUAGCCCCUAAGUUAUGUUACUCUGCUCUUAUUCUUCAGUCAUUUUCACAGGGGGCAUUGUGACAUAUUGCUAGACUGAGAACUUAGGUGAUGUGACUCUCCUCUACUGCUUGGAAUAUUCCCAAAAAGAGAGUUUGAUAUAUUGCUUAGCCAGGAUCCUAGGUGAUGUUACUCUUUUCUCCUGCCUAAACCCUGCAUACAUUAUGUAUUUUGGCACUGGGGCCACAACCUAGGUGAUGUAACUCUCCUGCAUGGGCUUUGCCUACAGGGGUAUGAUGAUGUUUCUUUUCUUUCAUCACCCAAGUGGUGUGACUCUCCACUUAUGCCUGGGUCUUGAUGAAAGAGGAAUUGUGACAUAUCCCUGGCCCUAGCACUUAGGUGAUGUAACUUGCCUUUAUUGCCAGGGCAUGGCAUAUUAUGAAUAUUGGACGUAUCUCUGGGACUGACACCUAGGGGAUGAGAGGUUCCUGCCUUGGCCCUGCCCACAGGAGGCUUUGUGGCAUGUCUCUGGCCUCAUUACCUAGAAAGAUGUGACUCUUCUCUUCUACCUGCAUUCUUCCCACAGAGAAGAUUGUGACAUCACUGGAUCCAGCAAUUAGAAAAUGUUUCUCUCCUGCCUGAGCCUUGCCCACAGGAAUAUUGUGACAUAUCCUUGGGCUCAGCACCCAGGUGAUGGAACUCUGCCACCUGUGCCCUGUCUACUUAGGCUAUUGUGAAGCUGGUUUCAAUACCCAGGUGAUGUAACAUUCCUGCCAGGCCACUGCCUUCCAGGGAUAUUGUUACGUACCUUUGUGCCAAUCACCAAGGUGAUGUGAAUCUUUUCACCUGCCUAGUCCUUGUUCACUAGGGGAUAAUGAUAUCUAUUGCUGGUUUCAGCACCAAGCUGAUGUUACUUGCCUCUUCUUCACAGAUUCUGCUCACAGAAAAACUAACACAUCACUAGGCCCAUCAGCGAAAUUAUUUUGCCUGGCCCUGCCCUUAAAAGACAUUGUGACAUACUACAGUGCCCAGCAUCAAUGUAAUUUGUCUCCUGCCUAAACCCUGCCUACUGGGGGCAUUGUGACAUAUCUCUUGGCCCAUCAACUAUUUGAUGUGACUCUACUUUCUUACCUGGGCUUUGCCAAUAGUAGAGCUUGUGACCUAUCUCUGGGCCCAGCACCUAGAUGUUAUGACUCUCCCGCCUGGUCCAUGCACACAAAAAAGAGAGUGACUUAUACUAGGAUCAACACACAAAUGAUUCUAUUCUUCUGCAUUAUCCCAGCCCACAUGGCUUAUUGUGACAUCUCUAGGUUCAUCAUCUAGAUGAUAUGACUCUCCUUCCUGGGAACUGUCCAUAAUGAAGAUUGUGACACAUCACUUGGCCCAGCACCUAUGUGAUAUGACUCCUUUCUUUUGCCUGGGCCUAUCAGUUUGGGUGAUUGUGUCAUAUAGCUUUACUCAGCACCUUGAUUAUGUGACUCUCCUGUUUCUCCUGAGUCCUACCCACAGAGGUCAUUGCAACAUAUCCCUGAGCCCCUAAUUUAGGUAAUUUGACUCCUGCCUGGGCCCUACCCUCAUUGAUUUUUGUGACAUAGUUUUUGACUCAGCACCUAGGUAAUGUGAUUCUUCUCCACUGCUUGGACUCUGUCACAGAAGGUAUUGUGAUGUAUCACUGGGGCUGACACCUAGGUGAAGGUACUGUCUUCUCCUGCCUGGGCCCUGCAUAAAUUGUAUAUUUUGACAUUUCACUAGGUUCAACACAUGGGUGAUUCAACUCUCUCACAUGGACCGUGAGCAUGGGGUUAUUGAGACAUUUAUUUUUGUUCAUCACCUAACCGAUGUGACUCCUCUCUGAUCCCUGUCAAAAGGAAAGAUUGUGACAUAUCACUGGAACCAGAACUUAGGUGAUGUGACUCUUCUGUCUAACAACCACAUAUUUUGGUUAUUGUGACAUUUCACUGGGCCAAACACCUCAGCCCUGUCCACAGGGGUUCUUGUGACAUAUAUCUGCAUCCAUUACAUAAAAGAUGUGAUGCCUUUUCUACCUGCACCCUCCCCACAGGAAAGGUUGUAACACACUGCAGGGCCCAGCCACCAGGUGAUAUGUCUCUCCUGCAUGUGCAUAACUUUCAGGAGAAAAUUGUAACAUGCCACUGGUUGAAAACCCAGAUGAUGUGACUCUCCUGCCUUUUCACAGCCCUCAGGGAAAAAAAUUACAUAUCAUUUGCCCAGCAUCCAGGUAAUGUCACUCUCCUGGGUGGUUUGUGCCAACAAGUUGGUUGGUAACAUAUAUCUCGGCCCAGCUCACAGGUUUGAUGGUGACUCUAAUACCUCCUACCAGCCAAUAGAAGAGACACUGUCUCUCACAGGUAGGCUUAGAAAGAGGAGUAAAAUUCCUGGCUGGGUGUGGCGGCUCACGCCUAUAAUCCCAGCACUUCAAGAGGUAGAGGUGGACGGAUCACCUGAUGUCGGGAGUUCAAGACCAGCCUGACCAACAUGGAAAAACCCUGUCUCUACUAAAAAUACAAAAAAUUAGCCAGGUAUAGUGGCACGUGCCUGUAAUCCCAGCUACUCGGGAGGCUGAGGCAGGAGAAUCGCUUGAACCCAGGAGGUGGAGGUUGUGGUGAGCUGAGAUCACACCGUUGCACUCCAGUCUGGGCAACAAGAGUGAAACUCUGUCUCACAAAAAAAAAAAAAAAGAAAAAGAAAAAGGAGUAAAAUCCUGGUGGUCUCUCUGUAUGAAGGUUAUAGAGAAUUACCACUCUCUUGUAUAUUGUGUAAAGCACUUGGAUGGUACAGAGCAUGUCUUCUGUACCAUAGGACCCAGCAAACAGGUUAGAUCAUGUUUCAUGUAAGCACAUCCUGCCAGUUUUUAGGAUUGUCAUCCUCACACAUGAAAGAGCCCACUGACUGAUGAGGUCAUAAUUCUCAUGGAUGGAUGCAGUCCAUACUUAAAAUUGUGACUAUCUUAUGUGAACAUGUGGCCACACUUGAGAUGGUGAAUCAUUUCUAAACCCAGCUCAUAGUGGUGAGGACUCUCCUCUCUGGACCCAGCUAAUUGGAGAGAUGUUAAAUGUCAUACCUAGACUUGGGACCACAUUAGAUCAUGUGUUCAGAGCAGGUUGCAACUCUCAGGCACACCAUAUACAGUCCACAAGAGAGUGUCCUGACAGAGAGAAGCACACAGGUGAGACUGAAAUUUAUAUUCACACCCAGUCAAUACCAAAGAUUGUCAUCCACUUAAACACACUCUUCUUUUGAGGUUCUGAAUCUCACUUUUGGAGGCAGCUGAGUGUUGGAAAAUUGACUCUCAUUUGUGGAUUUUUGUCCACAGUUGGGUUAGUGACUCGUUAACCAAAAUUCAGCACACCUUUGUGACUGCAACUUCACUAAGGAGCAUAAUUUAUUUAUUUUGAGAUGGAGUUUUGCUCUUGUUACCGAGGCUGGAGAGCAGUGGCACGAUCUUGGCUCACUGCAAACUCUGCUUCCUGGGUUCAAGUGAUUCUCCUGCCUCAGCCUCCUGAGUAGCUGGGAUUACAGGUGCCCACCACUAUGCCAGCUAAUUUUUUGUAUUUUUAGUAGAACUGGGGUUUCACCAUGUUGGUCAGGCUGGUCUUGAACUCCUGACCUCAAGUGAUCCACUUACCUCAGCCUCCCAAAGUGCUGGGAUUACAGGUGUGAGCCUCCUUGCCUAGACUAAGGCACAUAAUUUGCAAAAGAAAUUGAGGCUCUUAUGCACAAAUCCAGUCCACCAUUGAGACUGACCCCUGUACUUAGACCCAACAUGCAGGAAGUGUUGACUGUCAUUCCUUGACUCAGGACAUGAGUGUAAUUGUUAAUGUCAUCACAAGACCUUUCUACAAGUGUCAUGUGACAUACAUCUUAGCCCAGCAUCUGAGUUAUUUGUCUUUUCCUGGGACCAGUCCACAGUGCCAUAUCACCGGGCCCAUACCCUUGGUAAUGUGAUUCUAUUCUGCUUUGAUAAAGCGCACAGUGGUCAUUGUGACAUUGCUUGGUGUUGCACCCAGGUGGUGUGAGUCGGCUCUUCUGCCUUGGUGCUGCCCACAGAUGUAUUGUGACAUAUUGCUGGGCCUAUGUUAUGUUUAUCUUUUGCUUGUGCCCUAAACACAUAGCCUGAGUCCAACGACCAGGUGAUGUAACACUUCAUCCUGGACCGGUCUACAGAGGGGAUUGUAAUAUAUGUCUUCACCAAUCACCCUGGAAAUGUGACUUACUUUUCCUGCCUGUCCCUAAUCACAGGGGGUACUGGAACAUAUUGUUGGGCCCAGCACGUAGCUGAUGUGACAAUUUUUUUUUGGGUUCUGCUCACAAAAGAGAUUAUGACAUGUGAUUGUGCCUAACACUAAGGUGAUGUUACUUUUUUUUUUUUUUUGCUUUGGCUCUGCCCUUAGAAGGCAUUGAGACAUGGCUGGGCUCAGCACUAAGAAGAUGUGAGUCCUCUGCCUGAAGCCUGACCACAGGGAGCAUUGUGACACAUUUCUUGACCCAUUACAAUCUCUUCUACGGGCAAAGCUGAGGUAAAUGCCCGUUUUACCUAUGUGAUGUGACAUUCCUCUUCUGCCUGGGCCAUGCCCACAGAAUAGAGUGACGUAUUGGUGGGGCAAGCAAAACAGUGGUGUAAUUAUUCUGCCUGGUCCCUGUACACAGGAGUCACUGUGAUACAUGUUUGGGCCUCCCACCUAGAUGAUGUGACUUUUUUCUUCUGGAGUUUGUCCACAGUGGGAAUUGUGAUAUGCCACGUGACAUAGCUCCUAUGUGAUGUGACUCUUUCUCAUUCUUGGCCUCUUUCCACUGGGGUUACUGGAACAUAAAGCUGAGCCCAGCUCCUAGGCUGUGUCUCUCCUUUCUAAGCCCUACCCACAAAGGACAUUGUGACGUAUCUCUAGGCUUCUCACCUAGGUAAUAUUACUUUUUUACCUAGGCCCACCCCUCAGGGGUAUUGUGAAAUACUGCUGGACCAACAUGCUAGAUGAUAGGAGUCUCUGCUACUGCUUGGGGUGUGAUUAAGAGGAAAUUGUGAUGUGCAUUUGGGUGCAUCCAGCACCUAAGUGAUGUUAACUCUCCUCUUGUGCCUGAGACCUGCAUGCAAUAUGUGUUUUUGUGUUUUUUGUUUGUUUUUGAGAUGGAGUUUUGCUCCUUUUGCCCAGGCUGGAUUGCAAUGGUGCAAUCUCAGCUCACCACAACCUUCAUCUCCCAGGUUCAAGCAAUUCUUCAGCCUCAGCCCCCUGAGUAUCUGGGAUUACAGGCAUGUGCCACCAAGCCCGGUUAAUUUUUCUAAUUGUAGUAGAGAUGGGGUUUCUUCAUGUUGGUCAGGCUGGUCUCGAACUCCCAACCUCAGGUGAUCCACCGACCUCAGCCUCCUAAAGUGCUGGGAUUACCGGUGUGAGCCACCGCACCUGGCUGGCAUCAUGUAUUUCAACAUGUCUCUGGGUCCAACAACAUUAUGAUGAGACUUUCCUGUGUGGGCUCUCACACAGAACUAUUCUAACACAUCUUUUCAUUCAUUAUCUUGGCGAUUUGACUUUUCUGUUCCGCUUGAGCACUGCCAAAAGAAAAAUUUGUGGCAGAUCACUGGACCUAGCACCUAGGUGAUGUGGCUCUUCUCACUUGCCUGAGACCUGCAUAUUUUGGUUAUUGUGACAUAUCACUGAAACAAACACCUAGGGGUUGGAAGGCUUCUGCCUGAGCCCCUCCCACAGAGGGCCUUGGAAUAUAUUUUUUUAUCCAUCACCUGGGAGAUGAAACCCUCUACUUCUACCUGCCUUCUUCCCAUAGAGAAGAUUGUGAUAUAUUGCUGGGCCCAGGAACCAGGUGUUUUGUCUAUCUUUUCUGGGCUUUGCCUACAGUGAGCCUUGUGACACCCAGGUGAUCAUACUCUUCUUCCUAUGCCCUGCUUUCAGGAGAGGAUUAUAACAUCUCUGGUUGAGAACUCUGUGAUGUGACUCUCCUUGCUGGUGCAUGCUGUCAGGGAAGAUUGUGACAUAACCCUGGCUCAGCACACAGUUGAUGUGACUCUUGUGCUUGUUCUCUACCCACAGGUGGAAUUGUGACAUAUAACUUGGCCAAGCACACAGAUGUAAUGGUGUGGUGACUCUCAUACCUAGAACUGGGACCUGUGCAGGAUUGUUAAUUCAUUACUGGACAUUCCUGUGGGUGUGAUUGUUACAUAUGCCUAUGUUCAGCACCCGAGUGAUUUGAUUUUGCUGCCUGGUCUCAGUCCAAAUGUAAGAUUGUGAUUUAUCGCUGAAUCCAGCACCUCGGUGAUUUGACUCUCCCUUUUUUUGUGGGAGGGAUCCUGCAAAUUUUGGGUAUUGUCAAUUAUUGCUGAAUCCUGUACCCAUGUUAUGACUCUCCCAAAUGUGCCUUACCUGUUGUGGCACAAUAUAUCACAUUAGACAUUGUUAAAUAUUGUUGGGUUCAACACCUGGGUGAUGGAUGUAACUUUUUUUCUGGGCCUGCCUACAGGGGACCUUGUGACAUAACUCAAUGCCCAUCAUCAUGGUAAUGUUACUCUCUUCUCCUGCCUGAUCUCUGCUCACAGAGAAAUUGUGACACAUCACUGGCCUAGCAUCUAGGUGAUGUGACUCUCCUCUUUUUUUCAGGCUCUGCAUAUUUGGGUAUUGUGACAUAUUGCUGAACUCAACACCUAAGGGAUGGGAGUCUCCUACCUAGGCCCUUCCUACAGGGGACAUUGUGACAUGUCUCUGCAUUCCUCAUCCAGGAGAUGUGACUCUCCUUUUCUGCCUACACCCUGCCUACACAGAAAGUUGUGGCAUAUUGCUGUGGUCAGCAACCAGAUGAUAUAUUUCUCCUGCCUGGGUCUUUAUUACAGGAAAGAUGAUUGACAUAUUACUGGGCCCAGCAUCCAGAUGAUGUGACUCUCUUCUUCUGUUGGUCCUUGCUUACAGGGAAACUGUAGCAUAUUGCUACACCCAACACCUAGCUUAUGUGAUUCUUCUUUUAGGUUUGCCUUCAGGGAACAUUGUGACAUAUUGCUGGGCCCUGCACUGAUAAUUUGUGACUCUUCUGCCUGUGAUUUGCCCACUUGGGGCAUUGUGACAUAUUGCUGGGUUUAACACUCAGGUGAUGUAACUUUUAUGCCUAGGCCUUGCUUACAGGAGGCAUUUUGAAAUGUCUUUGUGGCUGGGCAUGGUGGCUCAUGUCUGUAAUCCCAGCGCUUGGGGAGGCCAAGGUGGGCAGAUCACAAAGUCAGGAGUUCGAGACCAGCCUGGUCAACAUGGUGAAAACCUGUCUCUACUAAAACAAAACAAAACAAAACAAAACAAAACAAAACAAAACAAAACAAAACAAAUAAAACCACAAAAAUCAGCCAGGUGUGGUGAUUGGUGCCUGUAGUUGCAGCUACUCAGGAGGCUGAGGCAGGAUAAUCGCUUAAGUCCAGGAGGUGGAGGUUGCAGUGAGCUGAGAUUGCACCACUGCACUCCAUCCUGGGCAACAGAGUGAGACUCCAUCUCCAAAAAAAAUAAAAUAAAAUAAAAUAAAAAUACAAAUGUCUUUGCACCAAUCCUACAGGUGAUGUGACUCUCUUGUGUUACCUGGUCUCUGCCCCCAGGAAGAAUUGUGACCUUUCACAGCGUAUAGCUAAUUUUUUUCUUUUAUUUCUUAGUUUUUCUCCUGCAGGAAAGAUUGUGAAAUAUUACUGAACUAAGCACCAAAGGGAUAUAUUUUUUUUCUUGGACCUGCCCAUGUAAGACCUUGUGACAUAUUGCUGGGCCCUACACCUAGAUGAUGUGAGUUUUCUGCCCGUCAACUAUUUUAUGUGACUCUCCUCUCUUAUCUUCACUUUGUCCAUAGGUUAGCUUUUAAUAUACCUUUGGGCCUGGGUCAUGCUAAUAGAAGCAAGAGUGACUUAUUGUUGGGCCCAGCACACAGGGGAUGUGAUUCUUCUGCUUGGUUCCUGCCGAAAUGGUCAUUGUGACAUAUCUAUGGGUCAGUUGGCUAAAUGACAGGACUCUUUUUAUCUUUCUGGAGCAGUCCACAGUAGGAAAUUUGACAUAUCGCUGGGCCCAGCACAUAUCUGAUGUGACUCUCCUCUCAUGCCAAGGCCUUGCCUACUGUAGUGAUUGUGCCAUAUAGCUGGGCCCAGCUCCUACGUUAUCUGACUCCUGUUUUCUUCCUGAGCCCUAUGAAAAGAUUGCAUUAUUAAAUAUUUCUGGGUCUUUUACCUAGGUGAUGUGACUUUUCUUUCUGGCUUGUCCUCUCAGAGGGUAUUGUGACAUGUUGCUGAAUGCAGCAUUUAGGUGAUACGACCCUUCCUCUACUGCUUGGACUCUGACCAAAAAGGGAUUGUGAUGCAUCACUGGGCCCAGCACCUACGUAAUGGGACUCUUUUCUCUUGCCUGGACCCUACAAAUAUUUUGCAUUGUGACGUGUAGCUGGGUCUGCCACCCAGGUAAUGUGAGUCUUCCACAUAAGCCCUGGCCACAAGAGUAUUAUGAAAUAACUUUUUAUUCAUCACCUAGGUAGUGAUGUGACUCUUCAUCAGCCUGUACCCUGCCACAAGGGAAUUGUGUUGUGUCAGUGGGUCCAGCACCUAGAUGAUGUAACUCAUCUUUUGGCUGGACCUUUCAUAUUUUACAUGUUGUUACAUAUCACUGCAUCUGACAUUAGGGGAUGAGAGGCUUCUGCCUGGGCCCUGCCCACAGAUGGCCUCGUGACAUAUUUUGGCAUCCAUCACCUAAGAAACGUGGCUCUCCUCACCUACAUGCACCAUGCACAAAGAAAAUAUUGUGGCAUAUCACUGGGAUCAGCCACCAGGUAUGUGUCUAUCCUCUCAGGGUGUUGCUCACAGAGAGCGUUGUAACAUAUCACUGGGCCCAGCACACAGGUGAUGUGACUUGUGGCCUGUGCCUAUCUAGCCUUUUUUUUUUUUUGAGGCAGAGUCUCACUCUGUUGCCCAGGUUGGAGUGCAGCGAUGUGAUCUUGGCUCACUGCAAAAUCUGCCUCCUGGGUUCAAGCAGUUCUCCUGCCUUAGCCUCCCAAGUAGCUGGGAUUACAGGCAUGCAUUACCACACCGUUCUAAUUUUUGUAUUUUUAGUAGAGGUGGAGUUUCACCAUGUUGGCCAGGCUGGUUUCUAACUCCUGACCUCAGGUGAUCCACUUGCCUUGGCCUCCCAAAGUGCUGGGACUACCAGCAUGAGCCACUGCACCCAGUCUACCUGCAGCCAUCUUAUAGGAUUAGAUUUUAAUCCAUCCCCAGCCAAGAACCUAGAUGAUGUGAUAUGACUCUCCUGUCUGGUCCUUGCCUUCAAAAAAGAUUGUGACAUACCUUUAGAUGAGACCCAGGUGAUGUCACUCUUCUGCUCACUUCCUACCCACCAGUGUCAUUGGGACAUAUAUCUUGCUUCAGCUUGCAAUUGCUAUGAUGAUUCUUAUACCUUGAACCAGGCAAUAAAAGAGUUAUAGUCUCUCCUAGCUAGGCUUAGGAAAACAAACAUAAUCCUUAGUCUCCUCUUUUUGCCAAGGUCAUAGAGAAUUAACACUCUCUCAAAUAUUCUAUAAAGCCCUCGGGUGGCACAGAGAGUGUCAUCAAGGGACAAAAACACUGAUGAUAUUGCGUUUCUUUUCUUUUCUUUCUUGGAGAUGGAGUCUCACUUUGUCACCCAGGCUAAAGUGCAGUGGCAUGAUCUCAGCUCACUGUAACCUCUGCCUCCUGAGUUCAAGUGAUUCUCCUGCCUCAGCCUCCCGAGUAGCUGGGACUACAGAUGUGUGCCACCAAGCCCAGCUAAUUUUGUAUUUUUAUUACAGAUGAGUUUUCACCAUGUUGGCCAGGCUGGUCUUGAACUCCUGACCUCAGGUGAUCUGCCCACCUUGGCCUCCCAAAAUGCUGGGAUUAUAGGUGUGAGCCACUGCUCCCAGCCCAAGAUUGUGUUUCUUAAAAGAACAUCCUGGCCAGGCUCAAGCCUGUAAUCCCAGCACUUUGGGAGGCCGAGGCAGGUGGAUCACGAGGUCAGGAGUUCAAGACCAGCCUGGCCAACAUGGUGAAACCCCAUCUCUACUAAAAAUAUAAGAACUCUCCAGGCGUGGUGGCGGGUGUCUAAUCCCAGCUACUCAGGAGGCUGAGGCAGGAGAAUUGCUUGAACCCAGGAGGCAGAGGUUGCAGUGAGCCAAGAUCACGCCACUGCCGUUCAGCCUUGGUGACAGAGUGAGACUCCAUCUCAAAAAAAAAAAAAAAAAAAAAAAGAAUAUUCUGCCAGGUGUGGUGGCUCACACCUGUAAUCUCAGCACUUUGGGAGGCCGGCUCACGCCUGUAAUCUCAGCACUUUGGGAGGCCGAGGUGGGCGGAUCACAAGGUUAGGAGAUUGAGACCAUCCUGACUAACAUGGUAAAACCCCAUCUCUACUAAAAAUACAAAAAAUUAGCCAGAUGUGGUGGCACAUGCCUGUAGUCCCAGCUACUCAGGAGGCUGAGGCAGGAGAAUCACUUGAACCCAGGAGGCCACUACACUCCAGCCUGGGCAGCAGAGUGAGACUUUGUCUCAAAAGGAAAAAGAAAUAAAAACAUCCUGCCGCUCAUUACAAUUGUAACCUCAAAAUAGAGCCCACUGGUGAGGUCCUGAAUCUCAUAUGCAGAUGCAGUCCACAGUUGGAAUUGUGACUGUGAUAUGCAAACAUCGAGCCAGGAAUGUCUCAUUUCUAAAGCUACAAAUGAUGACUCACUUCUAAAUGUAGUUCAUAGGCAGAUGAGGACUCUCCUAUAUUGAUCAGCCAAUUGGAGAGAUGUUGACUCUCAUUUCUGGGAUUAGAGCAGCAUGUACUAUCAAGGGUCCAUACCAUCACAAAUGUCUUAGAGUGGAUUGCGACUCACAUGCAUAUUGCAUAAAGUCCUCAGGUAAUGCAUUGAAUGCCCUUACAUGGCCCAGCACACAGGUGACAUUGUGAUGCUGGUUUUCACAACCAGUCAACAGUAAAUAUGUCAUCCUUUUAGAAAAACACAACCUACUUCUGAAGUUCUGAAUCUCAACCCUGGAGGCAGUGGGAAGUUGCAAAGUUGACUCCCAUGUGUGGAUCUGCUCCACAGCUGGGCUGGUGACUCAGACCAAGAUUCAGUGCACCUGUGAGGCUAUGAUUUUACUGAGAAGACAGAGUCUAAAGGAGAGAUUGAGGCUCUUUUUCAUGAAUUCAUCCAUAUUGAGAUUGUGAUUUCUGCACUUAGACCCAACCUCCAAAUGGUCUUGCCUCUCAUACCUAGAAUGGGAAUAUGUGAGGAAUUAUUCAUGUUAUUCCUGAGCCUUUCUGCAUGUGUGAUUGUGACACACAUCUCUGCUCAAAACCUGAGGAAUUUGACUCUCCUGCCUGGGCCUGGCACACAGAUGGGAUUGGGACAUAUUGUUUGAAGCAGUAUUUAGAUGAUGUGACCCUAUACUCUUUCCUUGUUCCUGUCACAGAGUACAUUGUGACAUAUCACUGGUCCCUGCACCCAGGUAAUUUGUUUGUCUUUUUUAUGCCCUGCCCACAUGGGCUAUUGUAACAUAUUGCUGGGUCUAACACCCAGGUAAUAUGAAUCUCCUACCUAUAUCCUGACUACAGGGGCCAAUUUUGCCAUAUUUCUGAACCCGUCAUCUAUUUGAUGUUACUCUCCACUUUUUUUUUCUUGGUUUUAAGGAGUGGAGAGUUUAAUAGGCAAGAAGGAAGGGAGAAGACAGAAAGAAGAAGCUCCCCUAUGCAGAGACAGAGGGAGGGGAGCUCCAAAGCCAAAAGAGAAGGCCCCCUACUCUCGACUUUUACAUAGGCUUUUCCCUAAGAGACAUUGUAACAUAUCUGGGCCAAGCACCUACGUGAUGUUACUCUUUGCUCCUUCCUGGGCCCUGACCAAGAAGGGGGAGUGACUAAUCCCUAGGCACAGCACACAGGUGAUGUAAUAUUUCUGCCUGUUCCCUGUCCACAGGAGACAUAGUGAAUGUCCCUGGCCUACUAAACAAGAUGAUAUGACUAUUUUUUGUCUCUGAGACCUGUCAACAGUGGGGAUUGUGACAGAUCACUUGUCUCAGCACCUACAUAAUUUUUCCCCAUGCCUGGGUGCUUCCCACUGGGGUGAUUGUGGCGUAUAACUAGGUGAAGGGCCUAGGUUAUGCGACUUUUCUCUUCUACGUGAGCCUCACCCACAUAGGGCAUUUUGACAUACCUCUGAAGCUCUAAUUUAGGUAGACUGCUGCAUGGACCCUUCAUUUUUCAGGAAGUAUUGUGCCAUAUUUUUUUGACCUAGCUAUAAUGCUUCUAAUGCCACUGCACUCCAGCCUGGGUGACAGAGUGAGACUACAUCUCUUCUAAUGCUUGGGCUCUGCCCAAGGAGGGAUUGUGAUGUAUUGCUGGGCCCAGCACCUUGGUGAUGUGACUCUCCUCUGCUUCUACAGGGUUCAGGACGGAAAGGAGAGUUACAUCACUUAGGUGAUGAACAAAAUGAUAUGUCAUAAUUCCCCUAUUAGCAGGGCUCAUGCAGGAGAGUCACAUCACCUAGGUGUUGGACUCAGCCAUAUUUCAAUAUGCAAAUUGUAUAUUGUGUUUAUUAAAAAUUGUAUAUAUUGAAAUAUGGCUGGGUCCAACAGGUAGAUGGUGUGAUUCUCCUGCUUGAGCCCUUCUAAUAGGGAAAUUAUGACAUAAUCAUUUUGUUUAUAACCUAAGUGAUGUAACUGUCCUUUUCUACUUGAGCUCUGUAUAAAGGGGGGAUUGUGACAUAUCACUGGACCCAGCAUCUGGUGGUACCAGUCUCUUUCUGUUUUUCUUUUUCAUUUUUUUUUUUUCUUCUGAGAUGUAGUCUCGCUCUGUCACCCAGGCUGGAGUGCAGUGGCAUGAUCUCGGCUCACUGCAACAGCCACCUCCUGGGUUCAAGCAAUUCUCCUGCCUCAGCCUCCCGAGUAGCUGGGGUUAGAGGCAUGCACCACCACACCUGGCUAAUUUUUGUAUUUUUCGUAGAGAUGGGGUUUCGCCAUGUUGGCCAGGCUGGUCUCGAACUCCUGACCUCAAGCGAUCUACCUGCCUCCGCCUCCCAAAGUGCUGAUAUUACAGGUGUGAGCCACUGUGCCACGCCUUAUUACCCUCCUCAUCAGCCCUGUGUAUUUUGGGUAUUAAGACAUAUUUCUGGGUCAAACCAAAUGGGUGAAAGGCUCUUGCCUGGGCCCUGCCCACAAGAGGCCUUGUGACACAUCUCUGCAUCCACUGCUUUGGAGGUGUGACUCUCCUCUUCCAUCUGCACCAUGACCACACAGAAAAUUGUGAC
rnacentral:lncRNA from 1 species